GCACAUCCCUUGGAACUGCUACUGUAUGAAAGCUGUAUCCUAGAGGUAGAACACAUGGUAUGGAAUAUGGCUGCUGCAUUGCUCCUGGGUGCCAUUGGACAGGUCAUGAGAAGCAGACGAGUGAGUGGUGAGUCUGUAUUUCAACUCUCGCAAAGGAAGCAUUCCCGAAGCUGUUGUCUCCUUGCUCCAGAAGGCCUCAAGCUGCCAUGAUUUCUGUGAACCUGUUCUACUGUGCAGUGAGGAUAGAUUCAGGGACCUUCUGAGCACCUGUUGCCUGUUGGGAUGGAAGCACCAUUUUCUCAGCACCACAGAAAUUAAGGAAAAAAAACCCGAGGAAACAAAUAAAUAUAAAACAACCCCAAGAAUAUCUAUGGGAAUUCAGUUGUGAGAGAAAUUUAAAGGAACUGGUGUUUUGUCUGGGAUUUCACAAUUUAAUAAUCUGUACAUUUAUUUUGUGAUACUUUGAAGGUCAUUUUUGAACCUUGCUAUAUUUGUACACUCUUGCAGUAUCAGCUUUUUCUUCUGUGAGUCGUUAAAUCUACCUCUUUCUCUUUGUGCCUUAAAUGUUCAGAUUUGACCCCAAAGUCUAAGUUGUGGAAACUGGCCAGGAAGUUCAAUGAUACAAUAAAGCAAUCCUUGGCGAACUUUUUUACUAAAUUUUUUUAAAAAUAUAUAUCUAUUUUUUAUUCAGCUGAACAACUGAAGUGUAAUGUGGUCAGUUAGAUCUUCACAGACACUGUGGCUGCUGUAUUUGUAGUGGGCAAGAUCUAAUAACCAAGAGAGGAUUUUUUACAUUUCAAUAUAUCCUCCUGAAUUCCAAGAGUAUUGUUUUAUAUCUUUGUCUGCAAAGACCUGUGUUACAGGAAUGAAAGAUCUCAUACUGCAAAAUGACUAGCCAGAAGGAGGUUUUUUUGUAUUACCUCCUGUGUUCCUUCCAGAUGAUCCCCACAAAUUUGAGUUUAGUUCAGUGUGUAAAUUAAGAUAAUAGUCUAUAGUGUGCUAAACUUUUAUGAUUUUGAGGGGGAAAAAAUAGUGUCUUCAGGUGGCAUACUAAGCUGGAGUUUCUGUGGAAGAAAGAAGACACAUUUAUCUUACUUUGGAUGUCUAAGUUAGUGUAUACAUAAGAUGCAAAAUGAUACUGCAAGAGGCAGUUUCUUCCUAAAACUGAUGAAACAGCUGGAAUAAUUCAAUGUUUAUUAUAUAAUUGACAGAGAACCAAGAAAUUGAAUCUGCUGAGAUUCCUAAGACAUUGUGCCAGU